GUGGUUAAACCAGGAAGAGUUAAGACCUGCGGUGGGAGUGGUUAAACCAGGAAGAGUUAAGACCUGCGGUGGGAGUGGUUAAACCAGGAAGAGGGUGGAGUUAAGACCUGACAGGGAACAGAGGAGGGAUCAGUUUUUUUUAAGAAAGCAAUGUCAUCUGAGCAGCAUGUGACCAUAUAUUUGAUAGUUUAAAUGUUUACGAUCGUUUGAAACAACUUCCAGAUUUCGAUGUAUUGAUGGUUGGGAAUGUUACGUGUGGAGAUGUGGACACGCACGCACUUCACACACACACACACACACACACACACACACACACACACACACACACACGCAGAGGAGGUGGAGCUUUAUACGUUAGCGUAAAGACUUUGUUCGAUUCGGUCAUGAUUAGUGAAACGCCUGUUUCGAUUUAUAAAAAUAAUAAAACUUACAUUGACGCUCCGCAAAAAAGUCGAGUGUUUCUAAAUCGUAUUCAGAUGCCGCCGACCGAAUCUUUGCGUGAGAAAUGGGAUUUGGAAGCGUACGGGAUGGAGGGAUCUUUUGGAUUUGUAUUCAGAUACGAAAUGGGUGAUAUCUGCUUAUUUCAGCUAAAAGAAAGAAGAGACGGAAGCCCUUUCUCGAUAUUUUCAUCGUUAUCUACCGUGGAUUGGGAAGUUUUUGGUGGACACGCACACACGCACACACACGCACACACACACACACUUCACACACACACACACACACACACACACACACACACGCACGCACGCACGCACGCACACACGCACACACACACACACACACACACACACACACACACACACACACACACACACACACAUUCGUACGCACUGAAACAACUUCCGUACCUCACGAAAACAUAUUUAAACAGAUGGAAAAAAACUAUCGCAGAACACAGUGUCACGUAGCAACUGGUCUUUACGGUCGUUUGAAUCAACAGGUCAGUUUGGGGGACAAAAGGAGGGUUCAGUUUUUACUGACUUCCCAUCUGACAGUUUAAAUGUUUAUGACCGUUUGAAUCAACAGGUCAGUUUGGGGUACAAAGGAGGGUUCAGUUUUUAUGGGAGCUUGAGAAUUUCGUAUGAAUAGCAACUGGCCACCCAUUUGACCGUUUAAAUGUUUACGAUUGUCUGAAACAACUUCCAUACCUCACGAAAACAUAUUUAAACAGAUGGAAAACUAGAGCAGAACACAGUGUAACCGCGAUUUGCAAAAUGAAAGGUAAUUUCUUUUUUUUUUUUUUCAUUCCUUGUAACACGUCUGUUUAAUGUUACUAUAAUAAGUAUUUAUUCGAACUAAAAACAGUCGAACAUCGAGUUGAAAUUCACCCACCACCAAGGGAUCUCCUAACAGAGUCUCCAAUCCUUUUGUGUAAGUACCGAUUUUUUUUUUUUUUUUACUGUAUUCAUUUCAUUACCUCCGUUUUUACCACAUUAUUAGACAAUGGUUUAACUCCGUUUAAGCAUUUAAACGUUAAAAGCAUUGCACGUGUACGACGAUGUAAUACCUUUUUUUUUUUUAACAGCCGAUGACGAUGAAGUGAAAGACGAAGAACUUUGUUUGAUCGAUCUUACAAAGUUGGAAGAUGAUUAUCGAGAGGAUUCGCCGGAAGAGACCAACGCGAUCCCUUUAACCCAAUCGCAGUCUGAUUUUCCGUUUACAUCUCUUGCUCACUGGUCUCCCUUAACGCUGGAGGGUCCGUCAACGGCCAUUCCAGGCAGAGGAGAAGGCUUGAUUGCGCCAAAGACUCCAGACAUUGAAUCCUUGCUCCGUGGGGAAAUCAUCGAAAACGACGGUGAAUGUCCAACAGGCACCCGCUGCAACAAACGCAGGAGGAAGCGUAGAUGCGCCCGCCAGCUCGACAAACAUGAUAGAAACAGAAGAAGGCUGAAACAGUACUAUCGUAUACUGGCUCGCACUCUCAUGAAGAUGGCAGACAUGAUUUGAUACAUACUGGUUUGUUAUAUCUGUUCCAUUCGAAUUAUUUUUUCUUUUUUUCUUUAGAGAAAUAUAAUGGGUGUAGUUCCAUCUGAAUUAGAUGUAGUUAUUGAAGAAGAUGAAGACGUUUGUAAUCAUCAUUUAGAUCCAAACAACCAGAUAGAAUGGGAACCAAACAAUGAUCCGUCUUUGCAAGAUGAUAUUAAUGUGUUAAAUUCAAACACAAACACACAAGCCUCUACACAGCAUCACGAGGUGUUGGGAGGGGCGACGCCCUCGGGGGAAUGUUUGGAUUUUUCGGAGGUGGUGGGGGUCAUGCAGAACCUACCGUCAACGGCUGACCAAUCAAUUUCAAAUGAGACCCAGAGGGGUGAUGGGGUAAAUGUCUUGAGGAGGGAAACAUUCAACAAUAUACAACUAUCCAGCGUUUUAACUUUUCCUCAAAACAACGAUGUAACAGAUUACGCCACAUUUUACCGCGGAGUCUUGGGGAGCCUUAAAAAGCUGACACAGAUGGUAACUAAGGAAGCUAGACCCGGCGAUAUCAUUCAAUUGGAGUUAUCCGGUGAAAGUGCAAAUCAACACACUUCAUUUACAUUUCGAAACGAUGCCGGGGCUGUGAUGAAUGCUUUUCAAGAUGUGUUAGAUCUGUUGGUACAAUCAAACGUUGAAAUAUUGAACGAUGAAGAAAUACAGGUGAUGGUCCAGGUGAUACAUAACCCUCGAGGUGGUGUAAGAAGAAAAAUCGAAACCCUUUUGGAACAUGAAAUCCACAGAAAAAAAGCUCGUUAUCUUUACAAUCCAUUAAACUCGAAUAAUCAACUAUGUUUUGCCAUUAGCCUAGCAAGUCUGUUACAUCCUGAAUUUACA